CUCAUUUUGUAUAUAUAUAAGUUAUGAUAUGGGUUACUACUUGUAGUAUUGCCUAUACAUUCUUGUGUAUUUGAUUGCAAAAUGUUGUCGGCGUGCACUUCUCCCCUAGUAGGACGUCGCGACCCGUUGAGUGUCGGUCUACGGCCCAAGUGGUAGCCUUUAAUUUUUACGAAUUAAAGACCCUUGGUGUUUCCUGGCUGGCUACUCGGCGGUAUUCGUACGGUAUUAAGCCGCAUUUGUGCGUUCAUAUCCGUCGCAAGCGCGGUCAAUUUUUGGUAGUACGGACCUAGUGCCGUCGCCAUAAUUGAUCAGCUGUUGGUUGUACGGUAUUCUAGAACUGGCUUUUAUACCGGUCAGCGAUGCGUUCAGCUUUGGGUACUUUUCAGGACC
rnacentral:rRNA from 1 species